rnacentral:tRNA from 1 species
GGGAUGUAGCUCAGUGGUAGAGCACUUGUUUAACAUACAGCAGGCCCUGGGUUCUGUUCCUAGCACCACCA